AAGUCGAGCGGAAACGAGUUAUCUGAACCUUCGGGGAACGAUAACGGCGUCGAGCGGCGGACGGGUGAGUAAUGCCUAGGAAAUUGCCCUGAUGUGGGGGAUAACCAUUGGAAACGAUGGCUAAUACCGCAUAAUGCCUACGGGCCAAAGAGGGGGACCUUCGGGCCUCUCGCGUCAGGAUAUGCCUAGGUGGGAUUAGCUAGUUGGUGAGGUAAGGGCUCACCAAGGCGACGAUCCCUAGCUGGUCUGAGAGGAUGAUCAGC
rnacentral:rRNA from 1 species